rnacentral:rRNA from 1 species
AUGAACGCUGGCGGCGUGCCUAAUACAUGCAAGUCGCGCGAACAGACGAGGAGCUUGCUCCUCUGACGUUAGCGGCGGACGGGUGAGUAACACGUGGAUAACCUACCUAUAAGACUGGGAUAACUUUGGGAAACCGGAGCUAAUACCGGAUAAUAUAUUGAACCGCAUGGUUCAAUAGUGAAAGACGGUUUUGCUGUCACUUAUAGAUGGAUCCGCGCCGCAUUAGCUAGUUGGUAAGGUAACGGCUUACCAAGGCGACGAUGCGUAGCCGACCUGAGAGGGUGAUCGGCCACACUGGAACUGAGACACGGUCCAGACUCCUACGGGAGGCAGCAGUAGGGAAUCUUCCGCAAUGGGCGAAAGCCUGACGGAGCAACGCCGCGUGAGUGAUGAAGGUCUUCGGAUCGUAAAACUCUGUUAUUAGGGAAGAACAAAUGUGUAAGUAACUAUGCACGUCUUGACGGUACCUAAUCAGAAAGCCACGGCUAACUACGUG